CGUCUUCCGCGCCGGACCGUGUACAAGUCUCCUGGAAGGGAGCAUCGUAGAGGGUGACAAUCCCGUCUCUGACACGGAUCCCCGGUGCUAUGUGAUGCGCUCUCGACGAGUCGAGUUGUUUGGGAAUGCAGCUCAAAUCGGGUGGUAAACUCCAUCUAAAGCUAAAUACAGGCGAGAGACCGAUAGCGAACAAGUACCGUGAGGGAAAGAUGAAAAGAACUUUGGAAAGAGAGUUAAACAGUACGUGAAAUUGCUGGAAGGGAAACGCUUGACGUCAGUCGCGUCGUCCGGGGAUCAACCUCGCUUUUCGCUGGGCGUAUUUCCCGGUCGACGGGUCAGCAUCGAUUUCGACCGUCGUAGAAGGACGCGAGUGAAUGUGGCACUCCACGGGGUGUGUUAUAGCCUCGCGUAUGGAUGCGAUGGUCGGGAUCGAGGAACUCGGCACGACCCCUCGAGGGUUCGGGGCUUCGGUCCACGCGCGUGCCCAGGAUGCUGGCGUAAUGGCUUUAAGCGACCCGUCUUGAAACACGGACCAAGGAGUCUAACGUGCCUGCGAGUGUUCGGGUGCAAAACCCGAGCGCGCAACGAAAGUGAAAGUCGAGACCUCCGUCGUGGAGGGCACCGACGCCCGGACCGGAGCCUUUGGCGAUGGAUCUGCGGUAGAGCAUGUAUGUUGGGACCCGAAAGAUGGUGAAC
rnacentral:rRNA from 1 species